rnacentral:rRNA from 2 species
GACGAACGCUGGCGGCGUGCCUAAUACAUGCAAGUCGAGCGAGCGGAACUAACAGAUUUACUUCGGUAAUGACGUUAGGAAAGCGAGCGGCGGAUGGGUGAGUAACACGUGGGGAACCUGCCCCAUAGUCUGGGAUACCACUUGGAAACAGGUGCUAAUACCGGAUAAGAAAGCAGAUCGCAUGAUCAGCUUUUAAAAGGCGGCGUAAGCUGUCGCUAUGGGAUGGCCCCGCGGUGCAUUAGCUAGUUGGUAAGGUAAAGGCUUACCAAGGCGAUGAUGCAUAGCCGAGUUGAGAGACUGAUCGGCCACAUUGGGACUGAGACACGGCCCAA